rnacentral:rRNA from 1 species
GACGAACGCUGGCGGCGUGCCUAAUACAUGCAAGUCGAGCGAAGCGGCGGAUGGGUGAGUAACGCGUGGCUAACCUGCCCUUAAGUCUGGGAUACUAUUUGGAAACAGAUGCCAAUACCGGAUACUAAUGGAUGGCCCUGAGAUGCAUUAGAUAGUGGGUAAGGUAACGGCUUACCAAGGCGAUGAUGCAUAGCCGAGUUGAGAGACUGAUCGGCCACAUUGGGACUGAGACACGGCCCAAACUCCUACGGGAGGCAGCAGUAGGGAAUCUUCCACAAUGGACGAAAGUCUGAUGGAGCAACGCCGCGUGAGUGAAGAAGGUUUUCGGAUCGUAAAGCUCUGUUGUUGGUGAAGCGGUAAUCAACCAGAAAGUCACGGCUAACUACGUGCCAGCAGCCGCGGUAAUAC